ensembl:piRNA 21ur-11389 ncRNA
UUGUAUGCGUAAAAAAAAAUG